AAGAUAGGUUUAAUUAGAGCAUCACUUAUGUUUGAAGCGUAUGAUAUUAUUAUGGAGGGUCCUUGGAAACGACAGGCCAAUCCAUCAAGAUUCUCUCGUCUGUGGCGUCUUUGCCUGUUGCAGUUGCUGGAGUGGAUCCAAUCUGGUAUCCGCUUUGGACGGAAGAAAAGAAAUGAAAUGAGACAAUUUUGUCGGAUAACCUUUGGGGACGGUCAAGGUAGUCAAGGUAGGCAUAAAGAUAGAUCACAAAGGGAUCCUUAGGUAACUGUAAUGUAUUUGUAGUAGAUGAAGUACUGUUGAACAGCUCAGCUUGUUCAAAAUUGUCUGAUGAGAACACAAAUUCUCUAUUAAAUGUACAAAAAGACGACCAAAGAAUGCUAUCAUGAGCUUUUGCCUGGAUUGGAGUGAAGAUGUGGAAUGUACUGCAUAUUUAAGAUUAAGAUGGUCGUGCCUACUGGAUUUGCUGCUAUGCUUUUGUCCCUUAACCAAGUUCAUACCCCCUUCCAGUCUUCUAACAGAAAAGUGCAGUAUGUGCUCUUUGCUUUCUCUUCGUUUUGUCCCUGGUUGAAUUUUUCGGUUCUAGCAAAGCUCAGGUUGAAC